GACGAACGCUGGCGGCGUGCUUAACACAUGCAAGUCGAACGGAAAGGCCCUGCUUUUGUGGGGUGCUCGAGUGGCGAACGGGUGAGUAACACGUGAGUAACCUGCCCUUGACUUUGGGAUAACUUCAGGAAACUGGGGCUAAUACCGGAUAGGAGCUCCUGCUGCAUGGUGGGGGUUGGAAAGUUUCGGCGGUUGGGGAUGGACUCGCGGCUUAUCAGCUUGUUGGUGGGGUAGUGGCUUACCAAGGCUUUGACGGGUAGCCGGCCUGAGAGGGUGACCGGCCACAUUGGGACUGAGAUACGGCCCAGACUCCUACGGGAGGCAGCAGUGGGGAAUAUUGCACAAUGGGCGGAAGCCUGAUGCAGCAACGCCGCGCGCGGGAUGACGGCCUUCGGGUUGUAAACCGCUUUCGCCUGUGACGAAGCGUGAGUGACGGUAAUGUGUAAAGAAGCACCGGCUAACUACGUG
rnacentral:rRNA from 1 species